UAUGUACUCCCUCCGUCCGAAAAAGCUUGUCCCAAGCUUGUCCUUCAAAUGGAUGUAUGUAGCACCAAAUUAGUGCUAGAUACAUCCAUUUGAGGGACAAGUUUUUUUGGACGGAGAGAGUAGUUU
rfam:Triticum aestivum genome assembly, contig: Triticum_aestivum_CS42_TGACv1_scaffold_195157_3AL